CCUGGCUCAGAGCGAACGUUAGCGGCGCGCCUAACACAUGCAAGUCGCACGAGAAAAGGGGGCAACCCCCGGUACAGUGGCGCACGGGUGAGUAACACGUGGGUGAUCUGCCCAGAAGAAGGGGAUAACCUCUCGAAAGGGGGGCUAAUACCGCAUAGGACCACCGGGGCUCUGGCUCUGUGGUGAAAGGGGGCCUCUGUUUACAAGCUCCUGCUUCUGGAUGAGCCCGCGUCCCAUCAGCUAGUUGGUAGGGUAAUGGCCUACCAAGGCUACGACGGGUAGCUGGUCUAAGAGGAUGGCCAGCCACACUGGAACUGAGACACGGUCCAGACUCCUACGGGAGGCAGCAGUGGGGAAUCUUGCGCAAUGGGCGAAAGCCUGACGCAGCGACGCCGCGUGGGUGACGAAGGCCUCGG
rnacentral:rRNA from 1 species